UUCACAAUCAUUUGAAUCAACUUGUGAAUUUAACAAUUGUUUUUUUUAAGUGAGGUCAACUAUGUGAACAUAUGAAGCAAUGGUUCAUCAGAAAAUGAGCUAUGUGGCCCAUAGUACCACGGAGCCCCGUUGUGACUGUAUUCCUCCCUAUGUCCAUCAUCUUCGCUAGGCCAAAAUCUCCUACCACUGCUUCAAAGUUUCCAUCAAGCAGGACAUUGGCAGCCUUCACAUCACGGUGGAUGAUCUUGGGAUUGCAGUGCUCGUGAAGGAAUUGGAGCGCGGCUGAUGUACUCAAUCCGUUUCGUUGUUUCAAAACAAAAGCCCUCCUGAAGCAAGAUCGAUGCUUGACUGUUGUGUCACUGGAAGAAGCGUAUGAGAUGGUGGAACAGAAAUGCUCAGAGAAAGAUGCUCCUCAACUGGAAGCAAGAUGGAAUUGUACCUGAACAUGCCAAGAAUCUACUUCAGAAUAAAAUUAAGAUUAUUUAUUGAAAUAAUGUCUACAGUGAAGAACUAGCUCAGUUGGGAUCCCAUUUGGACCACUUGUAUGAAAGAAAUCAUUGCUACGUGUGAAGAGUCUCAGUGUGGGCACUGGACUUCAGUAGUUAGAACCAUAUCCUUCAUUUCUCAGAAUUUUCCUGGGGUAGUUUUCUCAGCAAAGAAAAGUUCCUCCAAGACAUAUGUACAUGUGAGUCCAUUAUUUGGUCCCACCGAUAUUCUGUAUCUAAAAGAGGUGCCCAAUGAACCUACAGACCUAUACCUUCAAAAAGGGUGUCAUUAAAAAUCCAAACUAAAGGCAGCCACUGUUUUUCGUACUUGAUGGAAUGCAUCUUUUGUGUUUGGAUAAACGCACAAUGGAAUGUACAACAAAGCAGAAUCAGCUCCUAGUUGCAACAGGAACCUGAUACUGGAAAACAAGCUGAGCAAUAGGCAUGGUCCAGGUGGAAGCUUCCUCUUACCAAAGGUAGUGUUUGCAUGUUUAGUAGUGUUUUGGGCUGAAGCAAAGGUAUUCCAUCCACCCUUUGGUGUCUCUUCUUCCCCGUUUUCCCCCAAGCACCCAACAGCCAUUCCACAAAAUUAAAGGCAAGACACAGGCUAUAUUCCCUCAAAGCUCAGAAGCGGCAAACCACUCUAAUGGAGAGGAAGCAAUCCAGUCAAGCAAACAGGUGCUCCAAGAAGAUGACGACGACAAUGAAGUCAAACAGGCAGUUCUGUAUGUGAGCAUGCAAGGAAGGCCGGCAAGAACUUACCUAGAAAAGGGGAAGGAAGAAGUAUCAGACAAGUUGUGCUCCAAGCUUCUGAGAACUUUCUUUCUUUGAGCUGUCUCCCGGGGUGAAGGCUGAGAUUGAAGAGGAGAGGAGAGCAGGCUUAUUCUCAGCAGCACGGAGAGGAGCUGAGGAACAAGUGUUUAGCUAGUGGUGCACAAAGAAUUGAAUGGGUCAAAUAUAUCACAGCUCUCUCUGAAGUGGAGGUACUCCCGGCCAGUUCAUUGGAUCGUGCAAACAGACAGCUCAGAUUGAUCCAAGCCGUCCACUUGUAAUCAACGGCUGCCGAAUAACCUUCUCAUAGACCCGUCGGAGGACCAAAAGUUUCUGUUAGGGGCCUUUAUCAGCCGACUAACAGAUCUUCUAAAUCUCAAGGGCACUACUACCUUUUAUCAUAAGAUUUUGCUGGGAGUAGAGCAAGUUGAGUAUUAGAGAAAAAAAAAGGAAGUGCAGUGGGUGUGAGCAUAGGUUGUUGAAAUAAAAUGAUGGGAGUUCGCACCAUACCAUUGACUAGCUGAUACGCAGGGAAACUGCAAAAACCACCCUAUAUUUCUUUAUAUAAACUUUGUGGAGCAUCCAGGUCCCAUGCAAUUAUUGUUAGGCGACACUCUUGAAGAAUAUCGAUGUGGACGCCACCCUAGUGAAAGUUUUGUUGUUUUAAUACAGCAAUUGGAGCAAGUGAACUACGCUGUGUAUAAUUGUAUACAUUUCUCGAGGAAGAUUAGUGACA